UGUUAAAAAUUCAUUCAUUUGUACUAUUAAAAAUUAGUAUGAUUGAAAGAAUAAUCAGAUUGUAACACAUGGCCUGCCAUGUGUGCAUCAUGUUGACAUACAAGAAUUAGUUUUUAAUAGCAAAAAUAAAUGAAACUUUUAACA
rfam:Gossypium hirsutum cultivar TM-1 unplaced genomic scaffold scaffold290.1, whole genome shotgun sequence